UCGAUUAAAUCAAUCCCAGUUCUAAUUCUCCACUAACGUAAAUCUCCUAUUCCUACUCCAUCAAUUUUUGGAUGAUUUUGUAUGUGUUUGGUUGAAGGGGUUCUUGGAUGGUCAGCUUUUUCAGCUGCAGAUGCUUUGAGAUGACAGCAAUCCUUAUUUUGUGGUGGAAGUUGUGACCCUUUUCUUUGAGGAUUCUCAAUGAACUCUCCAAGACCUUGGAUGAGCAGAAUGUGGACUUUAAGAAAAUUGAUGCUAAUGUUCACCAACUGAAAGGCAGCAGCUCAAGUAUUGGAGCUCAGAGAGUGAGAAAUGCUUGCAAGAUGUUGAAUCAUAUAGCUUCUGCUUCUUCGUCUUGUUUCCAGAUCAAAUGUGUAAAACUUGCAUUUUCUUUUCUUCCAAUUUUAUAGGUGCCUUAGAUGCUUGCAGCAAGUUAAGCAAGAGUACUUGCUAGUGAAGAACAAGCUCGAAGCUCUACUAAGGUUGGAGCAGAAGAUUGUGGCAGCCGGCAGAGUGGUCCCCACAUUGAACGACUUCUCCUAAGGCGAAAGGGGUGCGCAUCUAAGUUAGCAGUGUUGUGGAGAAACUUGUGUGAGUUUUUUGGUGGUAUCAGUUUGCUGAGAUAAAAAGGUUGUUCAAUCUUUGAGGUUUCUGCUUGUAUGAAAAUUGGUUGGUCUUUUUAAAGUAGAAAAACCUGUCUUAAUAGUGUAUCUAUCUUCUGGCCAUAAAAAAAUGAUUCUGAAUCUCCAAUAACUCCAUGUUUGAAACCAUGAAUCAUUUGAUCAUACUCAGUUAUCAUCA